AGUAUAGUCUCCUAAAUGCACUUAGCCCUUAUUAUAGGGCUUUUU
rfam:Streptococcus pneumoniae R6, complete genome.